GCGGUGGAAAAGAAACCAAAAGGGAUUCGGAUAGUAACGGCGAGCGAACUCCGAACAGCUCAGCGCUAAGUCCCAUCGUCAUUAGGCGAAUGGGAAAUGCAGCGUGAUUGUCGCAGUGCAUCGUGCUUUGCUUCUGUGGCGCAAGUUCCUCUGACAAGGACUUUUUCCAUAGAGGGUGCUAGGCCCAUAGCUGUCACAAGGCUAAUGCACGCAUACUGUGUCAUGAUAGAGUCAGGUUGCUUGAAAGUGCAGCCCAAAGUCGGUGGUAAACUCCACCUAAGGCUAAAUAUUACUGCGAGACCGAUAGCAAACAAGUACCGUGAGGGAAAGUUGCAAAGAACUUUGAAGAGAGAGUUCAAUAGGACGUGAAACUGUUUGUAGGUAAACAGAUGGAACCACGAAGUAUGCCGGAAAGUGAAUUCAACUGUUCCGAAAAUGGCUGUCGUUGUUGUCUUAUUUGGCUCUUUUUCAGGGCAGGCUUCGAUGACGUUCAAUGCUGUUCUUGGGCGGUGCAUUUUUACAGUUCCGUGCUAAAGCCAUGACUUGUUGGCAAGCUAGAGCGUCCGUACGCGAAACUGGCCAGAAGGUAACUGGAUGUGCCUUGUGUACAUACUANCGAUAUAUCUGGCUAGUUGGUGCUUAGCUCAAGCUAACCGACAAGCGAAAUUUCUCCGUCUAUGCGGAGUAUGCAAGCAAAGCAGGCGUACAGUACUUCUGCCGAGACAAGUGUUGAUUUUGUAGGCCUUUUUGUGUUUUCACUAAAAGACUGCGAUUUUGAUCUGUCUAUGCUGGUGGUUGUAUUUCUGUGCGUCUGUGGCAAUCGAUGGCUAGUAGGUCGGUAUCCAUCUGACCC
rnacentral:rRNA from 1 species